UGGGGAAUUGUUCGCAAUGGGCGCAAGCCUGACGACGCAACGCCGCGUGGAGGAUGAAGGUCUUCGGAUCGUAAACUUCUGUUGCCCGGGACGAAUAGCUUAGACCUAAUACGUCUGAGUAUGACGGUACCGGGUGAGGAAGCCCCGGCUAACUCUGUGCCAGCAGCCGCGGUAAUACAGAGGGGGCAAGCGUUGUUCGGAAUUACUGGGCGUAAAGAGCUCGUAGGCGGUUCGAUAAGUCGGGUGUGAAACCUCCAGGCUCAACCUGGAGACGCCACCCGAUACUGUUGUGACUAGAGUCCAGUAGGGGAGCGUGGAAUUCCUGGUGUAGCGGUGAAAUGCGUAGAGAUCGGGAGGAAGGCCGGUGGCGAAGGCGGCGCUCUGGAACAUUUCUGACGCUGAGGCUCGAAAGCGUGGGGAGCAAACAGGAUUAGAUACCCGAGUAGUCCCUGAGCGGGCUGGCAAGGCGC
rnacentral:rRNA from 1 species